UCGCUUGCAAUGAACCCUCUAAAACUGUUAUAAUAUAAGUGUUACCUCGUGUAACUAUGGUGAUAAACGCUAUAUGUAAUAGAUGUUAUGGACCCGGGGGCGGUACCCGGCACCUCCACCACUUAAGAAGGCAGUCAUUUAAAAAGCAAGCUUUUUGAAUUGACGCCUGACCCAAAUCGGUUUUUUGCUUUUGGGGGUGAAAUAGGAUCGACAUGCGUUGAAAGAUAUGGUUUUUGCUCGGCAUUGUACCACCGUUAUCGGACAAUAUAAAUAUAAAUGCAAAACGUAAAAACGCAUUGAAUCGUGUUCUUUUUGCCGUUAACGCUAAUAGCGCUAACGACAACCGGAAAGCUCCUGUAGUAGAAGUAGUAGCUACAGCAGCAUAAGGUUAGAACACCUUUGCGGUUCGAGGGGCACCGGGCAACAGAAGCCCCUCACU
rnacentral:tmRNA from 1 species